GCGUGCAUCUAAUGUUAUGUAAAUAAAAUCCACGCGCAAAGGUAACGUGAACCGCAAGUUCAGAGACUGGGAUUAGGAAACCAUGUGGUAUACAGCAUUCAGCAAGCUGAUGCUCACGUGAUAGGGUACUCUUUAUAAACAAGGACCACUGCCAGUUAUUUUCAGUGUUGAAGAUAUUCGUAAUAUCUGUCUUUGGAUUAAUUUCUUGAGUGUGCAUAAAACUAUUAUUAGAAAGAAAGAUGCCUAAAGAGAUCAGCAUUCAGAAUCCUAUUGAAAUAAACACAAGAGUGAGUCCUAAUAAGAAGAUAGAAUGGACGAACAAAGUCAACCAAAUCUCUAUUCGCACAGAACAAACAGAAGACAGCAGCAACAAUAAUGGUUGGGGGCCGUUGUUUAAAAACAAGGCACAUUUUGUUGACUUACAUGUGUGCUAAACAACAAUGCAUGUUAAUGACAAGAUCUGAAUUUUACCUAUUGCAAAGUUACUUAAGAAUCCAUUUACUAAGAAAGCAAUUCAUGCAGUUAUAAAGACAAAGUAUGAAAGAUGGGAAGAAAGAAGUAAAGAUGGAAGAAUGAUAUUAAAUUGAAUCAACCAACUUGUAAUAAAUAGUCUGUUGUCUGGGUUGAAUGUCAUUUAGCAGCAUCAUUUCAAUGAGAGAUUUGACAUUUUACCCACCUGAAUCGAUAGAGACUUGGAUUCAGAAGGCUGCGAGCUGGCAGUAACGUUAGCACACCAGGCGAGAUGCUUAGCGGUAUUUCGUCUGCUGUUACGUUCUGAGUUCAAAUUCCGCCGAGGUCAACUUUGCCUUUCAUCCUUUCAGGGGUCGAUAAAUUAAGUACCAGUUAUGCACUGGGGUCGAUGUAAUCGACUUAAUCCCUGUGUCUGUCCUUGUUUGUCCCCUCUAUGUUUAGCUCCUUGUGGGCAAGAAAUAAGAAACUUGGAUUCAGUUUGAUAAAACAUCAAGGUUCAUUGAAGAACUAAAUUUGUUACAAACCUCAACCAAUUUUCAUGGUUCAUCAACUGGUAGUUCAGCAUCCUAACCAUUUAGAUUUCAUCAAUUUAGAACAAAUAUUUUCACUUACAGAAUGAAUAAAAUAAAAUAUU